rnacentral:ncRNA from 1 species
GAUAUAAUUUGGCAAACUCCUCCAAAGAGGUGGGCGCAAAGCCAUGGGCCUAAAGUUUUUCUGGCUUUUUCGCGAAAAACUAUGGCAGCCAGGCUGCUGGU